GACGAACGCUGGCGGCGUGCCUAAUACAUGCAAGUUGAGCGCUGAAGGUUGGUACUUGUACCGACUGGAUGAGCAGCGAACGGGUGAGUAACGCGUGGGGAAUCUGCCUUUGAGCGGGGGACAACAUUUGGAAACGAAUGCUAAUACCGCAUAAAAACUUUAAACACAAGUUUUAAGUUUGAAAGAUGCAAUUGCAUCACUCAAGGAUGAUCCCGCGUUGUAUUAGCUAGUUGGUGAGGUAAAGGCUCACCAAGGCGAUGAUACAUAGCCGACCUGAGAGGGUGAUCGGCCACAUUGGGACUGAGACACGGCCCAAACUCCUACGGGAGGCAGCAGUAGGGAAUCUUCGGCAAUAGACGAAAGUCUGACCGAGCAACGCCGCGUGAGUGAAGAAGGUUUUCGGAUCGUAAAACUCUGUUGGUAGAGAAGAACGUUGGUGAGAGUGGAAAGCUCAUCAAGUGACGGUAACUACCCAGAAAGGGACGGCUAACUACGUG
rnacentral:rRNA from 1 species